GUUGUGACCUGCGGAAGGAUCAUUAAAGAGUAAGGGUGCUCAGCGCCCGACCUCCAACCCUUUGUUGUUAAAACUACCUUGUUGCUUUGGCGGGACCGCUCGGUCUCCAGCCGCUGGGGAUUCGUCCCAGGCGAGCGCCCGCCAGAGUUAAACCAAACUCUUGUUAUUAAACCGGUCGUCUGAGUUAAAAUUUUGAAUAAAUCAAAACUUUCAACAACGGAUCUCUUGGUUCUCGCAUCGAUGAAGAACGCAGCGAAAUGCGAUAAGUAAUGUGAAUUGCAGAAUUCAGUGAAUCAUCGAAUCUUUGAACGCACAUUGCGCCCCUUGGUAUUCCGAGGGGCAUGCCUGUUCGAGCGUCAUUACACCACUCAAGCUAUGCUUGGUAUUGGGUGCCGUCCUUAGUUGGGCGCGCCUUAAAGACCUCGGCGAGGCCUCACCGGCUUUAGGCGUAGUAGAAUUUAUUCGAACGUCUGUCAAAGGAGAGGACUUCUGCCGACUGAAACCUUUUAUUUUUCUAGGUUGACCUCGGAUCAGGUAGGGAUACCCGCUGAACUUAAGCAUAU
rnacentral:rRNA from 1 species